rnacentral:lncRNA from 1 species
CAAAACAUCAAGGCUUACUACUUCCAUCUUAAUUCAAUAUAUAAUCCAUUCUAUAAUUAUCAAUUCAACAAUACUUCCAUAUUCUUAUUAAUUCAUCUCUCACUUACUCUCUUUGCGGUUUAUAUAUAUUCAAUUACUGAUCUCCAACUUACUUAUUAUAUUCAGUUUCUCAAUUCAUCAUAGAAUUCAAUAUCUUCACUUAAUACAACACAAUUCAUUAAUCUCAAUUCUCAAGAUCACAGAUUUUUUUCAAAAUGGUCAAUCCAAAGUCAUAUUCCACAAUAUUCUAAUCACAGUUUCAACAAUAUUUUUUUCAACCACAAUUCUUCAUAAGAAAAUAAUAAAAGCAAAAAAA